CUCUGUGACUCCUACGGGAGGCAGCAGUGGGGAAUAUUGCACAAUGGGGGAAACCCUGAUGCAGCCAUGCCGCGUGUGUGAAGAAGGCCUUCGGGUUGUAAAGCACUUUCAGUAGGGAGGAAGGUAGUGUAGUUAACACCUGCAUUAUUUGACGUUACCUACAGAAGAAGCACCGGCUAACUCCGUGCCAGCAGCCGCGGUAAUACGGAGGGUGCGAGCGUUAAUCGGAAUUACUGGGCGUAAAGCGCAUGCAGGCGGCCUGUUAAGUCAGAUGUGAAAGCCCGGGGCUUAACCUCGGAAUUGCAUUUGAAACUGGCAGGCUAGAGUCUUGUAGAGGGGGUAGAAUUUCAGGUGUAGCGGUGAAAAUGCGUAGAGAUCUGAAGGAAUACCAGUGGCGAAGGCGGCCCCCUGGACAAAGACUGACGCUCAGAUGCGAAAGCGUGGGGAGCAAACAGGAUUAGAUACCCUGGUAA
rnacentral:rRNA from 1 species